GGUUUGCGGAUUGCUGCCUGAAGCCCGGGGAGCGCAGCGGGAGUUGGCGCUGCACUCCCCGGGCUGCAGGCUGCUAUCCGCAAGCC